UUCCCAUUGUUCACACUGUGCUGCUGGCUUGAUCUCACAGUCCUCACCAGAAAAUAUGAGUCAUAAAUACUGUCUCCAGGCUCCAUGAGGAUGAGAAAACAGAGCCCAAAGGGUAAGGCGUGUGGCCAUGUUUCCACUACUACCAAGCAAGGAACUAGUACUCAGACACAGGACUGUUUGAGGCCAAAGCAUUGUCUUCACAAAUAAAGGACCGUGAAUAGAUACAAUUACCUCAGACGACAUCAGUGAGCAUGGGAUAUCUCAAAGUGACAACCCAUGAGCACAGAAUGCAGAGGAAAAGGACUUUUUUUUUCCCACUACCACAUUUCACUUCAACUCCAUGAGGCUGAGAGAGGGGACAGUCUACAUUCAUGACAUCAGCAUGCAGUAAGGACAAUCAAGUGCUGGAUUGACAGAUGAAGUGUCUGAGCAGAAGGCUACAGUGACUCCAAAUUGACUUAGGAACUCUAGACAGAAGUCUCUGCAUUUCAUCACCAACCUGAAUGACCAGAUUGCCACCCGUGGAAUUCCCUUUGGAGCAACAUGUGCUUGGAGACGCUAGAGGAUAAACACACAAUCCCUGCCCUUAAGAAGUCCACAGACUUGUCACGCGAUAACUGCAAUGCUCAAGACAAGUCAUAUCUACUGCGAGUGCUAUGACAGAAUUGAGGAGAGAGUGAACUCCACAGAAGACACAUGGUCUGUCUGCUUCCCUGCUAAAUCCACGGUAUGAAUGCUUGCAGGGACUGUGUCCCUUCUGGUAAUAAAUAAACAAAGAAUGGAGGGAGAAAACUUGUCUUAUUUUACUUCUUAUUUAUGAAAUCAAACCUUUCUGGAGAAGGAUUACAAGGAUGAAUGCUUGAAGCCAGGGAGACCUGCCGUCACUGGGGAACGCUCAACCUCAGAAGCCAGCAAUUAUUCUCUAUGGCUUCAACAAAGAACAGCUGCCCUUCAGAAGACAGAACCUGGGUGGAGACUUAAGCCAUGAAAAUAAAUAAUCUGGCUGUGUGCAGGGGCCCAAUCUGGAGGCUGAAGCCAAAGGAAGUAGAGUUUUGAGGGCAUUGUGAGUUACAUAGCAUGUUUGAGGCCGGCCGGAGCUACAUGGCACCAGCAGGCUUGAGAGAUGGCCUUACACAAGCAAGAGGAUCUGUCCUCUUCAUUGGGACCUAGACUCAGAAAGAGUUCUGUGACGAAUCCAGCUGACCAAGAAACCUGUGGAGGAGGAAGAGAAGGUAUUCCAAGCAGUGGAGUAAUCUGGGCAAAGUCAUGGAAUGAUGACAAAUUCUGGGACAUAGAGGUGACAGAGUCAGACUCCUGUGUGGUCCCUAUGCUAGUAAGGCAUAAUAGUGACCAGCUGAGAGGUAGACAACCUCAGGUGGUGUUAGACAAACCCAAGUUCAAGAACGGACACUGCACCAGUUCCAUCUUUCUGGCUUCACUCCCUGAAAAGCAAGGGCUGGGAGGAAGAUGGGAAGAAGUAUCCUCUCCCUCAGGGUGCCCUCGGCAAAGAUGGAGGAUAGCACCCAGAAGCUCUGAGGAGGCUUGUGUUUAAAGAGAAAACACUGAAACGGCUGUGUCUUUGCUUCAGCUUGCUUGAACCACAAUAUUUAUUUGGAAUUUGAAACUCAUUAAGAGUGGCUGUGAAGUGUUUACCCAGGGUAACUUGGGUUAUCAAGAGACUGAGAAAGUUUGACUGAAAUGACCCUGAAUCCCUUCUGAGCCUUCAGUGUGCCAGAGGUCUGCAACACAGGAAGCACAGGGAGACACUGUGAGACUUGGAAGUUGCUGUUGGUCUCCAACUCCAGCUCACACUUUGCCAUUCAGUCCCUGUGCAGGUUAAAGUCCUGGGAUAUCUGGAGUGUCAGAUGCUUCCUUCAUAACAACCUGGUAUCACAGACUUGUGGGCUUAUUUCAAAUAAGCAGUACUUGGCACAUAACAGGUCCCAGCCAAGUACAAAGCUGUGCACAAAGCUAGCCAAGGCUUCCCUCAGUAGCCUACUCCUUGGUCAGAAUAAGGUCCUUUUGAAUGCUUCCCAUGGGAUGUUCCCCUGCCCCCAAAUACACUAUCAGGUCUCGUUUAUAAGGAGAUAUAAUGUGGGUUUGGGCCUCAGAAUAUAGCUUCAAUGAAUUUUGGGAAUUUAGGUAUGUGCUUGGAACCACUCCAAGGUUAAAAAUCUUUUAAAAACUAAAGCAUUAUUAAAAUUAUCCUGAAAAUCUUAUCCACUGUGUUUUGAUGUCCAUCCAUUCCCA
rnacentral:lncRNA from 1 species